rnacentral:rRNA from 1 species
CGGUGAAUACGUUCCCGGACCUUGUACACACCGCCCGUCAAGCCAUGGAAGCUGGGUGUACCUAAAGUCGAUAACCGCGAAGGAGUCGCCUAGGGUAAAACUAGUAACUGGGGCU